GUGGUCCUUGAAGUCCUCCUGACUUUAUGAUGCACCAGUACAGCAUUCGCAAUACAAACACGCACCCUCUCCUCAGGACAGGAGGUGGAACAACCAUUUUGCACCUAUGGGAAAUGGGAAAGAAAUACUGUCUUCUCCAGCAGCUCUGCAGAUCUGAAGAUGUCCACAUCAAAUGACUCAUAGAGCACUUGGCAGGGAAAAGUCUUGUCAAGCUGGCAACAUGAAGUGGAGAAAUCAGAGUGAAGAACAAACCUAGACCACUAGAUAGACCUGAUCCCACUUUUUUUAAACAACUCCAUAUCCUUGGCAAGCUGCUCUCUGCUGCAGGAGAUGUGACAAGAGCCUGGUGACUGGUACGAGUGACCUUCCAAAGGAUUAGCCAGAGAUGUGUGACUGCCAGUGAAUAACUCUAUUCAUUUAUUAUCUGUGAUGAACAGUAAAUCAUUCUAUAUCUCACAUUCUGAUAUAUCAAAGAACUUUACAACCCAGUGAUCUUUCCAGUGCAGCCAUGAGGUCUGCAAGAACUGCCCAUCUGAGAGUUGGAAAAGUAGAGAAAUAAAAAGACUAUGUUUCUACCUAGAAGAAAUCACAUCUUUCAACCAUUAUGAGUGAAUAAGUUAUUUUCAGUCUUGAAAUGAAAAGUGCAAAGAAACAUUCACCAGAACUCUCAUUUUCCAUAGAUAAGGCAAAACUGCUUGAAACAGCUGAGCUUUACACUACAUUUAAGAAAUGAUGGGACUGCCACAAAACACGUUUGUAGAAUUAAGCAUUUCAAGUAGAGGUAUCUUUUUUGUUUUCCUUGAAAAAGUGUUCCCUGUGACGGUUUUUUUUUCGUUGCUUAUGAUGGAGUCAGAGAGACUAUUUUCACAGGUACUCAAAGAGCAAAUACCUUCCUUGACUCUUUCA
ensembl:lncRNA